GCGUGAGUGAUGAAGGCCCUAGGGUUGUAAAGCUCUUUUACCAGGGAUGAUAAUGACAGUACCUGGAGAAUAAGCUCCGGCUAACUCCGUGCCAGCAGCCGCGGUAAUACGGAGGGAGCUAGCGUUGUUCGGAAUUACUGGGCGUAAAGCGCACGUAGGCGGCGCAGCAAGUCAGGGGUGAAAUCCCGGGGCUCAACCCCGGAACUGCCUUUGAAACUGCCGUGCUAGAAUCCUGGAGAGGCGAGUGGAAUUCCGAGUGUAGAGGUGAAAUUCGU
rnacentral:rRNA from 1 species